rnacentral:lncRNA from 1 species
AGAAAUCAUGUUGAAUGCUUCACUUGAAAAUGCGAAAACCCUGUUGAAAUAGAGAUGUGAUGAGGAGGAGGCCAAGGAUUGUGGCAAUAAAAAGAAAUAGAAAACUAACAUGUCUCUGUAGGAAAGAAGUUACGAAUGGAAGCCGAAUUUCAUUGUCCUUGCAAGUUAUGAUCUCAAAAAGGAAUUUCUCUCGUACAGCUUGUAAAUCAUCCUUCAGAAUGUAAAAAAUUGAGUAGCAGCUUAGAAAAAAUGAUAUAUUUCGAAGAAAGCUAAAUAAGGAAAACAAGUGCUCUCAAUGAAUGAAUUGGUAAAUACGUACAUUGGAGAAACCUUCCAUUCCGAGACCUUUGUACUUGCUAAGAUACUGAAGAAGGAAAAUUCCUGAGUCGUACCUGAAAAAAGAAACAGUGUUGCAAUUUCCGAUUAACUUAAAAAACUUUCGAACUAUUUCUUGAGAAGUAGAAGAAAUAAGUUGCUAAUGAAUCAUAAAAGGCACAAUGAACAGUUUUAAAAUAUCACAAUUGUUAUAUGUUCCAACAUUUUUUGAUGCAGUAAAUAUUUUUUGUAAUUUUGAUUCAAAAAAGAAACAUGCACAAAUUUUACAAAUCCUGAACAGUUUUCUAAAAUGCGAACAAUUUUUCAAGAAAUACGACAGAAAUCAUGAAAAACACAAACAUUUUUUGAAUUUUCGGAACAUUUUCUGAGACCACGAACAGUUUUAAAUUUUUGAACAAAAAUGGAAACAGGAACAUUUUUUCAGUUCAGAACAAAAAUGUUUAAACAGAACAUUUUUUUAAAUGCGAUUUUUUUUUGAAACAUGACAUUUGUUGAAUUUGCAAAUAAAAUGUUGAAACCAAGAACAUUUUCGAAAACAUGAACAACUUUUGAAUUCCCCAAACAUUUUUUGGAAUUUGUGAACAAUUUUUUAAAGCAUGAACAUAUUUUGAAUCUUGGGAACAAAUUUUGAAAUGGAGAACAAAUUUUGAAGCACGAACAUUUUUUGAAUCUUGAGAACAAAUUUUGAAACGGAGAACAAAUUUGGAAGCACGAACAUUUUUUGAAUCUUGAGAACAAAUUUUGAAACGGAGAACAGAUUUGGGAGCAUGCACAAUUUUUUAAAGCACAAACAUUUUUAAUUCUUGAGAACUAAUUUUGAAACGGAGAACAAUUUUGAAAAAUCCCGCACAAAUUUGGAAGUGCGAACAAUUUUUUAAAGCGUGAACAUUUAUUUAAUCUUCACAACAAAUUUUGAAAUGGAUAACAAUUUUGAAAAUCCCGAACAAAUCUGGAAGUGCGAACAUUUUAUAACAAUGGGAACAAAAAAUUGAAAUUCGGUACAUUUUUUGCAUUUCGAAACUUUUCAACUUUUUGUGUAACGAUAACAAUUUUUGAAUCUUGAGAACAUUUUUUGAAACCUGAACAUUUUAUGGAAACACGAACAAAAUUUCAAUAUUUUGAAAUUCUUUUGAUAAAAAGAGAGGGAAAAAAGGAAAAAGAAAAAACAAAGAAAUAAAACAAACAGAAAAAUCGAAAAAAUAAAAAAGAAACAGAAAUAACUAAAAAUGAAAAGAAGAAGAAAAAACAAAAAGGAAAACUAGAAACAAACAAAAAAAGAAAAACAAGAAGUAGCAAAAAGAAUACCAAGAAGUAGCAAAAAGAAAACUAAAAAACAGGGGAGCAAAAAGAAUACCAAGAAGUAGCAAAGAAAUAAUCGCCACAUCUUCAAAGUUUCAUCUUCUACUACUGGGUUAAUGUGCUAGUUUUGUUAUUUUGCUCAUAGACCAGAGCUUUGUUUUUGAAAUGAAAUUAGUUUAUGUGACUGUAGUUUUGCUAUAGGAUUCAGAUUUUUUUCAAUUUUUUUAGAAAAACUUGGAUUGAAAAAUGUUAUAUUCAUGCUUAAUUCAGUUUUGCACGAAAUUAAUAUUAGAAGCUGAAUCAACAAUCUAUUCGUGAUAAAAUAGAGUGAUUCGAAUAUAGUACCCGAAGACAGCAAACAAAACAGGAACAUCAUGAAUAUAUGGUUCAAAAAAACUUCUCUAUUUCUGAUGCAAUAUUGUGGUGUGAGAUACACAUGAAAACAACAAGAAAAGCGGAAAUGCAAUCAUUUAGAGCACAUGCCCACAAGGUAUAAAUUCGGUUAUAUGAACUAUACAACUGAAUGCUUUCUGGCGUAUACAUUGAAGAGACAAAAAUGGAAGUACACAUCAAUGUAAUCAACUACUUGUCACUACUCCUUUCCUUUCUGAAAACAAUCUACCGAGAUUGAGGAAUGAUUUCCUAAAAUAGUUGAACAGGAGAAAAAAUACUCGACUAAGUGCAGAAAUAAUUUGUAUGAAAUGUAACAAGGUCUAUGAAGAAUUCAGUACAGUAAUAAUGCAGGCAAAUCAGAUCAACCAACUAGCUGGUGUUUUUUCUAGGGAAGCAAGUAGCUACUGUUAGCUAAACAGUGUACACACGUAGUUAAAUUAACAUCACAAAACUUGCUGAUUAGAAAGGUGGACGCUAAUUAAGCUACCAAACAAACUAGGAGGUGAUUCAAAUUAAUUAACUGAACAUUCAAAACCAGAGUAGAAUGUAUCAUGAAGAUAAUCAUAUUAAAAGUGGUAAUGCCUAUUUAUGAACUAGAAAAUGAUAUGAUUUGCAUGGAAACGAAAUAAUGUUGAAAUGAACACUAGGUUACUUAAGAUUUUCAAGAGAAGAACACCUCCUAUAUCUAUGAGCAUUUACCAGAAAAACUAAGCGAGAUUCAUUUACAGUAGUAGCUAGAAGAAAACUACAGCAGUAUCUUCACAACUAUUGCCGGUCCAUAAGUAUAUACAUGGAAAAUUCAGAGCAUCUACACAAUUUAAGGGACAUGCUCGUUCACUUCUGUAGAAGUAUCGACAACAUCUUAAAACACAUUCACAAAAAGGGUUAGGAACAAAAUUGUCAAGCACCAGAAUAGAAAACAGUUGACAAGUACUUGCUGUAAUGAUUUACCUACAAAUCUGUAGAAGAACUAUGAUCUGUUAGAUCUCAACCGAACCUGUAAACACAAACAGAAAAAGAAAGUCGAAUACAGUUGAGGAACCUAGGAAUUUGGAAUAAAAACCAAACGGGGAACACCAGAUCUGACGAACCUCGACCAAUUAUCACAAAAUUGAAGUGUUAUUCCUCAGAAUUUGGUUGCCAAAACACCGUCUACCAACAACAGAGAACAAAUCAGCUAACCCUAACUUCCAUCCCAGAGAUUUGCAGGAAGGGGAGAGAAGAUGAAGAACCAGAGCACCUAGCGCCCCGAGAUGCACGAAGGAGGAAGGAAUCAAGACCACGGCGAAGAAUCGAGAGGAAGGAAGAGGAAUCGAGAGGACGAAGCAGAGAAGGAAUCGAGACAAAGCAGUCGCACGAGGAAGAAAGGGGAACGAGGAAACAGACGUGGUCGGUCGAAACAAGAAACAGGAAAAAAAGGCCGGCCCAAAUACGGGCGAAGGGUGUGCGGU